AUCUCAUUGUGGAGGGCAUUUUCGUAACAACUCCUUGAACCACUCCCAUGCCUCGUAUAAAGACUCUUCAUCAAGUUGCUGAAAUGAAGUAAUCUCAUUGUAGAGCUU